CUUAGGAAUCUGCCUAUUAGUGGGGGACAACAUUCCGAAAGGAAUGCUAAUACCGCAUACGUCCUACGGGAGAAAGCAGGGGAUCUUCGGACCUUGCGCUAAUAGAUGAGCCUAAGUCGGAUUAGCUAGUUGGUGGGGUAAAGGCCUACCAAGGCGACGAUCUGUAGCGGGUCUGAGAGGAUGAUCCGCCACACUGGGACUGAGACACGGCCCACACUCCUACGGGAGGCAGCAGUGGGGAAUAUUGGACAAUGGGGGAAACCCUGAUCCAGCCAUGCCGCGUGUGUGAAGAAGGCCUUAUGGUUGUAAAGCACUUUAAGCGAGGAGGAGGCUACUGAGACUAAUACUCUUGGAUAGUGGACGUUACUCGCAGAAUAAGCACCGGCUAACUCUGUGCCAGCAGCCGCGGUAAUACAGAGGGUGCGAGCGUUAAUCGGAUUUACUGGGCGUAAAGCGUGCGUAGGCGGCUUUUUAAGUCGGAUGUGAAAUCCCCGAGCUUAACUUGGGAAUUGCAUUCGAUACUGGGAAGCUAGAGUAUGGGAGAGGAUGGUAGAAUUCCAGGUGUAGCGGUGAAAUGCGUAGAGAUCUGGAGGAAUACCGAUGGCGAAGGCAGCCAUCUGGCCUAAUACUGACGCUGAGGUACGAAAGCGUGGGGAGCAAACAGGAUUAGAUACUCUGGUAGUCCAUGCCGUAAACGAUGUCUACUAGCCGUUGGCGCCUUUGAGGCUUUAGUGGCGCAGCUAACGCGAUAAGUAGACCGCCUGGAGAGUACGGUCGCAAGACUAAAACUCAUAUGAAUUGACGGGCGCCCGCACAAGCGGUGGAGCAUGUGGUUUAAUUCGAUGCAACGCGAACAACCUUACCUGGCCUUGACAUACUAGAAACUUUCCAGAGAUGGAUUGGUGCCUUCGGGAAUCUAGAUACAGGUGCUGCAUGGCUGUCGUCAGCUCGUGUCGUGAGAUGUUGGGUUAAGUCCCGCAACGAGCGCAACCUUUUUCUUACUUGCCAGCAUUUCGGAUGGGAACUUUAAGGANACUGCCAGUGACAACUGGA
rnacentral:rRNA from 1 species